ACGCACGCUGGCGGCGUGCUUAACACCUGCAAGUCGAACGCAGAGCGAUGGAAGCUUGCUUCUAUCAAUCUUAGUGGCGAACGGGUGAGUAACGCGUAAUCAACCUGCCCUUCAGAGGGGGACAACAGUUGGAAACGACUGCUAAUACCGCAUACGAUCUAAUCUCGGCAUCGAGGAUAGAUGAAAGGUGGCCUCUACAUGUAAGCUAUCACUGAAGGAGGGGAUUGCGUCUGAUUAGCUAGUUGGGGGGGUAACGGCCCACCAAGGCGAUGAGCAGUAGCCGGUCUGAGAGGAUGAACGGCCACAUUGGGAAUGAGACACGGCCCAGACUCCUACGGGAGGCAGCAGUGGGGAAUCUUCCGCAAUGGACGAAAGUCUGACGGAGCAACGCCGCGUGAGUGAUGACGGCCUUCGGGUUGUAAAGCUCUGUUAAUCGGGACGAAAGGCCUUCUUGCGAAUAGUGAGAAGGAUUGACGGUACCGGAAUAGAAAGCCACGGCUAACUACGUG
rnacentral:rRNA from 1 species